GACGAACGCUGGCGGCGUGCUUAACACAUGCAAGUCGAACGGAAAGGCCCUGCUUUUGUGGGGUGCCCGAGUGGCGAACGGGUGAGUAACACGUGAGUAACCUGCCCUUGACUUUGGGAUAACUUCAGGAAACUGGGGCUAAUACCGGAUAGGAGCUCCUGCUGCAUGGUGGGGGUUGGAAAGUUUCGGCGGUUGGGGAUGGACUCGCGGCUUAUCAGCUUGUUGGUGGGGUAGUGGCUUACCAAGGCUUUGACGGGUAGCCGGCCUGAGAGGGUGACCGGCCACAUUGGGACUGAGAGACGGCCCAGACUCCUACGGGAGGCAGCAGUGGGGAAUAUUGCACAAUGGGCGGAAGCCUGAUGCAGCAACGCCGCGUGCGGGAUGACGGCCUUCGGGUUGUAAACCGCUUUCGCCUGUGACGAAGCGUGAGUGACGGUAAUGGGUAAAGAAGCACCGGCUAACUACGUG
rnacentral:rRNA from 1 species